AACCUCCGCAAUGUGAGAAAUCGCGACGGGGGGAUCCCAAGUGCCAUUCUUAACGGGAUGGCUUUUCAUUAGUGUAAAGAGCUUUUGGAAUAAGGGCUGGACAAGACCGGUGCCAGCCGCCGCGGUAACACCGGCAGCUCUAGUGGUAGCAGUUUUUAUUGGGCCUAAAGCGUCCGUAGCCGGUUUAAUAAGUCUCUGGUGAAAUCCUGUAGCUUAACUGUGGGAAUUGCUGGAGAUACUAUUAGACUUGAGACCGGGAGAGGUUAGAGGUACUCCCAGGGUAGAGGUGAAAUUCUGUAAUCCUGGGAGGACCGCCUGUUGCGAAGGCGUCUAACUGGAACGGUUCUGACGGUGAGGGACGAAAGUUAGGGGCGCGAACCGGAUUAGAUACCCGGGUAGUCCUAACCGUAAACGAUGCGGACUUGGUGUUGGGGUGGCUUUGAGCUGCUCCAGUGCCGAAGGGAAGCUGUUAAGUCCGCCGCCUGGGAAGUACGGUCGCAAGACUGAAACUUAAAGGAAGU
rnacentral:rRNA from 1 species